rnacentral:rRNA from 1 species
GACGAACGCUGGCGGCGUGCUUAACACAUGCAAGUCGAGCGGAAAGGCUCCUUCGGGGGUACUCGAGCGGCGAACGGGUGAGUAACACGUGAGUAAUCUGCCCUUCACUUCGGGAUAACUGCCUGAAAGGGUGGCUAAUACCGGGUAUUCUCCUUGCACCGCAUGGUGUGGGGUGGGAAGUUUUUUCGGUGGGGGAUGUGCUCGCGGCCUAUCAGCUUGUUGGUGGGGUAAUGGCCUACCAAGGCUUUGACGGGUAGCCGGCCUGAGAGGGUGACCGGCCACACUGGGACUGAGACACGGCCCAGACUCCUACGGGAGGCAGCAGUGGGGAAUAUUGGACAAUGGGCGGAAGCCUGAUCCAGCAACGCCGCGUGAGGGAUGACGGCCUUCGGGUUGUAAACCUCUUUCAGCACAGACGAAGCGCCUGUGAAGGUGGUGACGGUAUGUGCAGAAGAAGCACCGGCCAACUACGUGCCAGCCGCCGCCGUAACAC